AAAAAAGAAAAAAAGAAGUCUUCAUGGAGCUGGAGAAUGAAUGGUGAAACAGCCACAAGGCAUGCUAGCAUGCUGUUCAUACUGAAAUUCAGUUGUUCUUAAAUAUUCCCUGAGCUGCUAAAAGCUUAUAGUUAGUAUUCAGAGUCAGAAAAACCUGAUUCUGACAGUUUUUGUUUUGUUUUGUUUGCCAGAUUUUUAUUGCUUUUAUAGAGCAGAGAAUUUUCAGAGAUCUUAUGCCACCAUUUUUGGCAUUUUUGGCAGGGUGAUAACUCCCUGCUAUUUGUAACCUCACCCAGGGAUUGGCCAGAGCAGCAAGGACUAACCCUUUGUAGUUAAAUUAAUUCUUUCAUUUAAUGGAACCAGCUUUGCUGGUGUGAGUACGUUAAAAUCAUAGAACCUCGAUUUAAAAGAUAUCCUGAUAUUCAAAUUGCUUUUUGAAAUCUUUUUGUCUUAACCAUAAAGUAUGAUAAUAUUCUGAAGUCAUUCAGUGAACUUAUAUCUGAAUCCUAUUAAGUGGCUACAAGUAUAUACUAUUUCUUUGUGUUGCUAAAACAGAGUCUAAGCAGCCUUCUAUAAUUGUACCUUUACAAAUAUUGAGCAUUUUUAGAUAUUAGCCUCCCCACAUCACUGUCUUUUUAUUGUAUUGAACCCCCAGAUUUGCUUUUGAUUAACAGUCAAACCUUUAAAAAGUCCUCUGAGAGAAACAAAACCUGAAAAUGUGAGAUUGAAAUGAAAUGAUUUAAAAUAGUAUUUGGGCAUUUACGUGUCCACUGGUGCCACAAUAUAUCUGAACAUUGAAUGGAAUUCAGAACUCCAUGAAAAAGAGCUGAUGUCCAAAGAGUUGAUGUCACACAGCAUAUGGCCUGAUUGGCACAGAAGUUGGAGCUGGACAGUUGAUUCUCCAUUCUGCUCUGGUGGAGGCUGUACUUCUAAAAGCGAGCUCUUCAAACUUACAUCUCAAUUACUCUUAACAGGGACAGUUAGAAUUUUCUUUCUCAAAUUAAAGGUUUGAGAAAUCCCUGAUAAGAUGUACUGUUCCCUCAAGUUUAUUUUAAUUGUAAUUUUUGUUUACUGUCAGCCUUCAUCCAGCUUUGACGACUUAGAUUCUCAUAAAAACUCCAAAGUUAACGCGAUAAUUAUGUUCUGCAUUGGUGGUGCUAUCCUGUUGGCCAUGCUCGUUCUGAUGGCCGUCGUCAUCUGUCUUUACUACAAAGUAGCCAACGCACUGAACAUGCCAAAGGUACCUGUUUGUUUGGCCUUAAAAAGUAAUCCAGCUGUGGUCACCCCGGACAAGGUCAGUGCAGCCCUCACCGCUGGGUCUUACCCCAGCCUCCAGUGCUGUGACGAAUGUAACUUGUAUCCUGGCUUCGAUGCCCUGCCUCCGUGCUGCUGUAAUGUAAACGAGGGGCUCUGACUUGGGUUUCCCAUGAGGCUUUGAAGAUCUGGGAAACAGACGAAGCACAUGGUAGCUCACAGAGCAGUCCUGAGGGGUUCCUGUAAUUGUUGCUCAGGCUCUCAUUUGCAAGCUUAAUCCAAACUCAACAAAGCCAAGGCCCAAUUUGUUUUCUUUGAAACAGACAAAUAAAGCUCAUUUUGUG